GUGGCUGAUGUGACUGAGUGAACGUUUGUUA
rnacentral:piRNA from 1 species